rnacentral:rRNA from 1 species
GCGCUGACAGAUGAGCCCAAGUCGGAUUAGCUAGUUGGUAGGGUAAUGGCCUACCAAGGCGACGAUCCGUAACUGGUCUGAGAGGACGACCAGUCACACCGGAACUGAGACACGGUCCGG